rnacentral:rRNA from 1 species
UAAUACGGAGGGUGCAAGCGUUGUCCGGAUUUAUUGGGUUUAAAGGGUGCGUAGGCGGCCCGUUAAGUCAGUGGUGAAAGCCUCCAGCUCAACUGGAGAACUGCCAUUGAUACUGGCGGGCUUGAGUACAGACGAGGUUGGCGGAAUUGAUUGUGUAGCGGUGAAAUGCAUAGAUACAAUCAAGAACACCGAUUGCGUAGGCAGCUAACUAGGCUGUAACUGACGCUGAGGCACGAAAGCGUGGGGAGCGAACAGGAUUAGAUACCCUGGUAGUCCACGCUGUAAACGAUGAUUACUCGAUGUCGGCGAUAAACAGUCGGCGUCUUAGCGAAAGCGUUAAGUAAUCCACCUGGGGAGUACGCCCGCAAGGGUG